AGUUUCUCUGCACGACGAAGCUCUGCUCUCGGUUACGUAACGGCUUGGUGUGUUGGCCGCUCACUGAGGCAUGAUGGGAAGGCUAUAAAUAAAGACUCAUCCUCAUCAGACGGAGCAAAAUAAACCCGGUAUGAUUCAGAGAAUCCCUGCAUGUCCCUGAACGCAGCAUAAGGUGAUGCUAACCGCGCUGCUCCUUCACUUCCGGUUCGGUUCCGUUACAGAACAAUGGGCUCUGAUGUGGUGACUAACCUGCCUCACUUUCUCCAGACACCUGUAAGCGGAGCUUUACGUCACGCCUGACUUUUAUUGAAGUGAUAAUCAGUCAGUUGGACCGGAAGCGGAAUCUUGUGAGUGAAAGCCGCCAUUUUAGCUGCGGGCUGCCGCUUGGAGAAGAACCGGUUUACCGACAGCAGCAUCCAGAAACGACCAGAGCUGCUGCUGUACCUUCGAUGGAGAGCUGCUCGAUGGCGCGGCGCUCGCCGCGGCUGCAGUGCGGUGGCAAGCAGAAACCACGGAUGCUCCUCCCGGUCCGAACCCGAGAGCUCAACACGUAGUUUGGGUCCAGGUCGUCUCCACCCUGAACACAGAAAGACAAAGGUUACCAGAUGAGUCCAACAUCAGGAAGUACCGAUUCAGCACCACGGACAGCGAACACAACCAGAACCAGGUUGGUUCUGAACAAGGUUAGUUCUCGGAGUUCACCUGCAGGUUUUCUGCGUUCAGGUCCGUCUUGUGUUUGUCUGACGGUUUGUAUCCUCCGUGACGGUCCUCGAUCACGGGGUCCAUCAGGUCCUUGAACACAUCGUACGUCUCCUCGUCUCCGGCCACGCAGCCCACCGUCAUGAUGAAGGGGUGACCUGCAGGGAGACACCGGGGGACAGAAAACUGAAACCUCAGCUUUGCUCUUGGUUUGACUUUCUGCAGCUGAACGUGAUGAUUCUGGAUGUGAAGAAGAGGAUCAGCAGAUCAGACAGGAAGCAGUGGCUCCGCCCUCGGUGGGGAAUUAACGAGCAGAAAUAACUCGAGCUAUCAAGUCAAUCCAAUUAGGAAGGAAUUAAUGAACAGCAGCAGAAGUGCAGGAUGGAUAAACAGUCUGAUGCACCUCCAGUCCAAAGCCUGCAGGAUCUGGACUCUGACGAGGUUCUGACCCGGGGGAGCGUUCAGGUGUUUGAGGUUCGUCUCAAACAGUAGACCUGCUCAGGACUCAUCGGCCCCCCGCAGCCCCCAGAGGAGCCGCCCCUGCGACGUGGUUCUGGGUGACUUGAGUCUCCUGAGAAGCAGGAACCAAUCGUCUGGCUCCAGGUGAGACCGACCUGGGUUGUCGACGCCGGUCUGGAUGACGUCGUCCAGGGUGAAGCCGCUGGGCGUCUCCUUGUCGCGCAGCUGGGCGUACAUCUCCAGCGUCA